UUGGAUGGUAGUGUAUUGGACUACCAUGGCUUUUACGGGUAACGGGGGAUUAGGGUUCGAUUCCGGAGAGGGAGCCUGAGAAACGGCUACCACAUCUAAGGAAGGCAGCAGGCGCGUAAAUUACCCAAUCCUAAUUCAGGGAGGUAGUGACAAGAAAUAACGGACCGGAGCCUAUGUUCCGGGAUUGCAAUGAGUUGAAUUUAAACCCCUUGACGAGGAUCAAUUGGAGGGCAAGUCUGGUGCCAGCAGCCGCGGUAAUUCCAGCUCCAAUAGCGUAUAUUAAAGUUGUUGCAGUUAAAAAGCUCGUAGUUGGAUUUCUGGGAGGGUGCCAAUGUCCGCCGCGCGCGUGUGCAGCGGCGUCCUUCCAUCCUUCUGUUAACGUUUCGCGGUAUUCACUUACCAGUUGCGGGCUCAGAUAUUUUACCUUGAGAAAAUUAGAGUGUUUCAGGCAGGCUUGCGCCGGAAUACAUUAGCACGGAAUAAUAGAAUAGGACUUUUGUCUCCUCUGUUGGUUUGAGGGACUGAAGUAAUGAUUAAUAGGGAUAGUUGGGGGCAUUAGUAUUUAAUUGUCAGAGGUGAAAUUCUCGGAUUUGUUAAAGACUAACUUAUGCGAAAGCAUUUGCCAAGGAUGUUUUCAUUAAUCAAGAACGAAAGUUAGGGGAUCAAAGACGAUCAGAUACCGUC
rnacentral:rRNA from 1 species